rnacentral:lncRNA from 1 species
UUUGUCCUACACGUGAAUUAGCUGCUCAGACGGCAAGAGAAUGCAAGAAACUGAUUAAAGGAAAGAAGUUUUAUAUCAAAUUAAUGACUAAGCAGCUUGCUAAAGGUGCCGACUUUUCAAAGUUCCCCUGUGAUAUACUCAUAUCAACGCCAUUUCGUUUGCAGUAUGCUAUUAAAAAAAGAAAGCUCGAUUUAAGCAAGUAAGUUACCUAUUCUCUAGUAAGUGCAAUUACUCUAAUGCCAGUGUAUUACUUGCAGUCAUUUUAAGUCUGUUCACAAGCAUCUUGCUUUAUCUGAAAUAUUGAUAGUUAUUUCAUGCUUGUCGUUUCCGUGUCAAGGAUAGUCUCUCACAUUAUUACUCUUGCUGCACAUCACGGAAUGUUUAAUAAGAUGACUUCGUGAAUGCAUGAAAUAUAAUAGGAAUUCCUACUCCAAAUAAAGUGUGCUCACUGCUCACUGGACCAGACAUCACAAUUGCAUUGUGUUUAUGGGAAGGGGUAACAGAUUGAAG